rnacentral:rRNA from 3 species
UACGAAGGGUGCAAGCGUUAAUCGGAAUUACUGGGCGUAAAGCGCGCGUAGGUGGUUCAGCAAGUUGGAUGUGAAAUCCCCGGGCUCAACCUGGGAACUGCAUCCAAAACUACUGAGCUAGAGUACGGUAGAGGGUGGUGGAAUUUCCUGUGUAGCGGUGAAAUGCGUAGAUAUAGGAAGGAACACCAGUGGCGAAGGCGACCACCUGGACUGAUACUGACACUGAGGUGCGAAAGCGUGGGGAGCAAACAGG